rnacentral:rRNA from 1 species
GACGAACGCUGGCGGCGUGCUUAACACAUGCAAGUCGAACGGUAAGGCCCUUCGGGGUACACGAGUGGCGAACGGGUGAGUAACACGUGGGUGAUCUGCCCUGCACUUCGGGAUAAGCCUGGGAAACUGGGUCGAAUACCGGAUAGGACCACUGCCUGCAUGGGUGGUGGUGGAAAGCUUUUGCGGUGUGGGAUGGGCCCGCGGCGUAUCAGCUUGUUGGCGGGGUGGUGGCCUAUCAAGGCGACGACGGGUAGCCGGCCUGAGAGGGUGACCGGCCACCAUGGGAUUGGAAUACGGCCCAGACUCCUACGUGAGGGGGGAGUGGGGAAUAGUGCACAAUGGGCGCAAGCCUGGUGCAGCGACGCCGCGUGAGGGAUGACGGCCUUCGGGUUGUAAACCUCUUUCAGCACCGACGAAGCGCAAGUGACGGUAGGUGCAGAAGAAGGACCGGCCAACUACGUGCCAGCAGCCGCCGUAA